rnacentral:rRNA from 1 species
AGAGUUUGAUCCUGGCUCAGGACGAACGCUGGCGGCGUGCUUAACACAUGCAAGUCGAACGGAAAGGCCCCUUCGGGGGUACUCGAGUGGCGAACGGGUGAGUAACACGUGGGUGAUCUGCCCUGCACUUUGGGAUAAGCCUGGGAAACUGGGUCUAAUACCGAAUAGGACCGCAUGCUUCAUGGUGUGUGGUGGAAAGCUUUUGCGGUGUGGGAUGGGCCCGCGGCCUAUCAGCUUGUUGGUGGGGUAAUGGCCUACCAAGGCGACGACGGGUAGCCGGCCUGAGAGGGUGUCCGGCCACACUGGGACUGAGAUACGGCCCAGACUCCUACGGGAGGCAGCAGUGGGGAAUAUUGCACAAUGGGCGCAAGCCUGAUGCAGCGACGCCGCGUGGGGGAUGACGGCCUUCGGGUUGUAAACCUCUUUCAGUAUCGGCGAAGCUCCAGGAUUUUUCCUGGGGUGACGGUAGGUACAGAAGAAGCACCGGCCAACUACGUGCCAGCAGCCGCGGUAAUACGUAGGGUGCGAGCGUUGUCCGGAAUUACUGGGCGUAAAGAGCUCGUAGGUGGUUUGUCACGUUGUCUAUGAAAACUCAUAGCUUAACUGUGGGCGUGCGGGCGAUACGGGCAGACUGGAGUACUGUAGGGGAGACUGGAAUUCCUGGUGUAGCGGUGGAAUGCGCAGUUAUCAGGAGGAACACCGGUGGCGAAGGCGGGUCUCCGGGCAGUAACUGACGCUGAGGAGCGAAAGCGUGGGGAGCGAACAGGAUUAGAUACCCUGGUAGUCCAA